rnacentral:rRNA from 1 species
AUUGAACGCUGGCGGCAUGCCUCACACAUGCAAGUCGAACGGUAACAGGUCUUCGGAUGCUGACGAGUGGCGAACGGGUGAGUAAUACAUCGGAACGUGCCUAGUAGUGGGGGAUAACUACUCGAAAGAGUGGCUAAUACCGCAUGAGAUCUACGGAUGAAAGCAGGGGAUCGCAAGACCUUGUGCUACUAGAGCGGCCGAUGGCAGAUUAGGUAGUUGGUGGGAUAAAAGCUUACCAAGCCGACGAUCUGUAGCUGGUCUGAGAGGACGAUCAGCCACACUGGGACUGAGAAACGGCCCAGACUCCUACGGGAGGCAGCAGUGGGGAAUUUUGGACAAUGGGCGCAAGCCUGAUCCAGCAAUGCCGCGUGCAGGAUGAAGACCGUCGGGUUGUAAACUGCUUUUGUACGGAACGAAAAGCCCCGGGUUAAUACCCUGGGGUCAUGACGGUACCGUAAGAAUAAGCACCGGCUAACUACGUGCCAGCAGCCGCGGUAA